UAGGGAAUCUUCCACAAUUUACGCAAGUCUGAUGGAGCAACGCCGCGUGAGUGAAGAAGGUUUUCGGAUCGUAAAGCUCUGUUGUUGGUGAAGAAGGAUAGAGGCAGUAACUGGUCUUUAUUUGACGGUAAUCAACCAGAAAGUCACGGCUAACUACGUGCCAGCAGCCGCGGUAAUACGUAGGUGGCAAGCGUUGUCCGGAUUUAUUGGGCGUAAAGCGAGCGCAGGCGGAAUGAUAAGUCUGAUGUGAAAGCCCACGGCUCAACCGUGGAACUGCAUCGGAAACUGUCAUUCUUGAGUGCAGAAGAGGAGAGUGGAAUUCCAUGUGUAGCGUUGGAAUGCGUAGAUAUAUGGAAGAACACCAGUGGCGAAGGCGGCUCUCUGGUCUGCAACUGACGCUGAGGCUCGAAAGCAUGGGUAGCGAACAGG
rnacentral:rRNA from 1 species